rnacentral:lncRNA from 1 species
AGGCAUCAGUUCAGACACCAGAGACAGUCUCAUGUUCAAAGUACAGACUAUGGAUAUUCUGGUCAUAUUUACACAUUGAAUUGUAGUCAUUUCUUCAAAACCUUGGCAUCAAGAGAAAUAUACAUGGAGCUGUUACUUCUGAUGAGCCUGAAUUCCCUCCUUCUUUUCAAUGCGUAUAUUACCUCAGCAGGUAAGAUCAUUUCAAAACAAUUAUCAUAAGUCAUGUGGCUUUCAUUAAGGUUAAAGGUACAGUCAGCAACUCUAAUGCACUAAAAAAAACCUCUGUUGUUCACACACACUCCUGGCUCUGUAAAUAGCAAACAAACAUAUUGGCUUGGACUGAGACAUACACAGUUUCAGCCAAUCAACACAAUGCUUCAAAGGCACAGAAUUUGAUUGGCUGUUGAGUUGAAAUAUAAUCAAUAUAAAUCAGUAUAUUUUUUUAAUAAGAAGUAUUGCCAGUAUCGUGCUGUUGUAUGGAUUGACAAUUUUAAGUUAUGUCCCCUAUCAGAAUUGAAUUAUCUAGUGCUGCAUGCUGAAAUCAGCAUUGAGGACAAUGCAGAGGGACACUUAACAGAACUACUUCAGACCUUUCCUAAUGUCACACAUGGAAGUGAAAGUAUUAGAGAGAUUAAGACCACCAGAGAUUGCCAGGAAGUAGAUAAAACUAAUAAAUGUGAGUGCACAAAAGACUUUAAGGAGGAUGAGGACAAUGACAACCUGUGUAUCCCUGAAAAAAGAGUCUCAGUCAAAGGAGAAAUUGUCUUGAAAGAUGAACCCUAUGACAACAAACUCACAGAUCGAGCCUCUGAGGAGUUUAAAAAACUGAGCAAAAAACUGACUCAAGAGUUAUCAAAAUGUUACAGUAGACUGAAAUGGUUUCGAUCCCUGAACAUUUUGCAUUUCAGGUAAGCACAUAUCACCGUAUCAUUUCAGAUUUGUAUUCACAUAUAUCUUAGUUUGAAUGGCAUGAAACUAACUAUUCCCCCCAUAUACCAGUAAGGGCU